rnacentral:rRNA from 1 species
GAUGAACGCUGGCGGCGUGCCUAAUACAUGCAAGUCGAGCGAACAGACGAGGAGCUUGCUCCUCUGACGUUAGCGGCGGACGGGUAAGUAACACGUGGAUAACCUACCUAUAAGACUGGGAUAACUUCGGGAAACCGGAGCUAAUACCGGAUAAUAUAUUGAACCGCAUGGUUCAAUAGUGAAAGACGGUUUUGCUGUCACUUAUAGAUGGAUCCGCGCCGCAUUAGCUAGUUGGUAAGGUAACGGCUUACCAAGGCAACGAUGCGUAGCCGACCUGAGAGGGUGAUCGGCCACACUGGAACUGAGACACGGUCCAGACUCCUACGGGAGGCAGCAGUAGGGAAUCUUCCGCAAUGGGCGAAAGCCUGACGGAGCAACGCCGCGUGAGUAUGAAGGUCUUCGGAUCGUAAAACUCUGUUAUUAGGGAAGAACAAAUGUGUAAGUAACUAUGCACGUCUUGACGGUACCUAAUCAGAAAGCCACGGCUAACUACGUG